GACGAACGCUGGCGGCGUGCCUAAUACAUGCAAGUCGAACGCAGUGGGGACGGGUGAGUAACACGUGGGUAACCUCCCAUCAGAGGGGAUAACACUUGGAAACAGGUGCUACACCGAUACUGAUGGAUGGACCCGCGGUGCAUUAGCUAGUUGGGGAGGUAACGGCUCACCAAGGCCACGAUGCAUAGCCGACCUGAGAGAGGUGUCGGGCACACUGGGACGCAGACACGUCCCAGACGACUACGGGAGACAGCAGUAGGGAAUCUUCGGCAAUGGACGAAAGUCUGACCGGGCAGCGCCGCGUGAGGCAAGGUGGUUUUCGGAUCUUAAGACUCGGGUGUUAGAGGAGCGGUGUCUAGCCGGAAAGCCACGGCUAGCUACGUGCCAGCAGCCGCGGGAGUUC
rnacentral:rRNA from 1 species